rnacentral:rRNA from 1 species
UACGUAGGGUGCGAGCGUUGUCCGGAAUUAUUGGGCGUAAAGGGCUCGUAGGCGGUCUGUCGCGUCGGGAGUGAAAAACUCAGGGCUUAACCCUGAGCCUGCUUCCGAUACGGGCAGACUAGAGGUAUGCAGGGGAGAACGGAAUUCCUGGUGUAGCGGUGGAAUGCGCAGAUAUCAGGAAGAACACCCGUGGCGAAAGCGGCUCUCUGGAACGGUACUGACGCUGAGACGCGAAAGCGUGGGAGCGAACAGG